rnacentral:rRNA from 1 species
UACGUAGGGUGCAAGCGUUGUCCGGAAUUAUUGGGCGUAAAGAGCUCGUAGGCGGUUUGUCGCGUCUGCUGUGAAAUCCCGAGGCUCAACCUCGGGCCUGCAGUGGGUACGGGCAGACUAGAGUGCGGUAGGGGGAGAUUGGAAUUCCUGGUGUAGCGGUGGAAUGCGCAGAUAUCAGGAGGAACACCGAUGGCGAAGGCAGAUCUCUGGGCCGUAACUGACGCUGAGGAGCGAAAGCGUGGGGAGCGAACAGG